UACGUAGGGGGCAAGCGUUGUCCGGAAUCAUUGGGCGUAAAGCGCGUGUAGGCGGUUUCGUAAGUCUGCUGUGAAAGUCGGAGGCUCAACCUUCGAAAGCCGGUGGAUACUGUGAGACUUGAGUACGGAAGAGGAGAGUGGAAUUCCUGGUGUAGCGGUGAAAUGCGCAGAUAUCAGGAGGAACACCAACGGCGAAGGCAGCUCUCUGGGCCGUAACUGACGCUGAGGAGCGAAAGCAUGGGGAGCGAACAGG
rnacentral:rRNA from 1 species